GCAGGGCUAGGUACUUUUAAACACCUGUAGAAGAGAAACCACAGAAGGCGAGGACAUGAGCUGAUUAUGUUUAUCAGAAAUCCACUGUAUGAGAGAAAACACCCUUUCCUGGGAAGAGGAGAAGGAGGAGGAGGAGGAGGAAAAGAAGGAAGAAAAGGAGAAAGAGGAGAAGGAAGAAGACUUAGAACAUCCUAAUUUGGAUGGGGAAGACUGCACACCGAGGGAUGAAGGCAGAGGGGCUGGUCUUCGCUGUUGCUUUAAUGUCUCAGUGUAGUCCACCAGUGGUCCAGACGUAUUGGAAGACACUUUGGCUGUGGGGAAGAUACUCUGGACUGAUUGAACGAUGUCUUGACUCCUAUAAUGACUAUAUCGAGAGCAGAAUGGCUUCAGGGGAUACAUUCAGCCAAACCCCCCAAAAGACUUCCCUGGGGUGAAACAAAUGCCUUUGAGAUUUAACUCAGGAGGAAUGGGUGCUUCAUUAGGUGUUGGGAAAAAAAUCUACCAACAGCCACCAAGGACUGGAUCCCCUGGAACAACAUACAGUUGGCAGCAAAAUUUUGCCACAGAUCCAGUUGACAGAGAAAGUACAUUCCGCAGCAGGAAAAUAUAAAUUGUGUGUGAAAUCAGCUAAAGAACAUUUUGGAUAUCAUUCAGCAGAUUAUUCCUUGCCCUCUUCCAUUUUACUACAAGUUGACAGCUAAAGAGCAGUCUUAGAGCAUGAAGGCGGCUCAGUGCCAUUUUCUUGGGGCCACCAACCGAGAGUUAAGCUACCUAACGUUUCGAAAGCCCAGCCCAUUUCACUCACAGCAGGCAUGGCAGUGGGUGACGGAUCGCAUCCCGCCAGCUGGCUAAUAUCGUAAUUAACAAAGUUGCAACCACAUCGGAGAAGUUUAAUCGAAAAAUUUGCCGGCAGUAUGAUGGCAUUGUCACAGAGAUCACAAGCUAGGCAGAUGAGACUUUCAUUCUGGGAGAAGGCAAGCUGAGGACGUCUGAACUUGG